CCUACGGGUGGCAGCAGUGAGGAAUAUUGGUCAAUGGACGCCAGUCUGAACCAGCCAUGCCGCGUGCAGGAAGACGGCUCUAUGAGUUGUAAACUGCUUUUGUACGAGGGUAAACGCAGAUACGCGUAUCUUUCUGAAAUUAUCGUCCGAAUAAGGAUCGGCUAACUCCGUUCCAGCAGCGGCGGUACUACGGAGGAUUCAAGCGUUAUCCGGCUUUAUUGGGUUUAAAGGGUGCGUAGGCGGUCGGAUAAGUUAGAGGUGAAAUCCCGAGGCUCAACUUCGGAAUUGCCGCUGAUACUGGUCGGCUAGAGAGUAGUUGCGGUAGGCGGAAUGUAUGGUGUAGCGGUGAAAUGCUUAGAGAUCAUACAGAACACCGAUUGCGAAGGCAGCUUACCAAGCUACUUCUGACGUUGAGGCACGAAAGCGUGGGGAGCAAACAGGAUUAGAUACCCCAGUAGUC
rnacentral:rRNA from 1 species